AAAGAACGCCGCCGGAUAAAGCGAGGGUGUUUUCACCAGCAUGCUAGACAUGUGGUAGUCGCUCCGGGGGUUCUUUUUUAU
rnacentral:ncRNA from 1 species